rnacentral:rRNA from 1 species
CCCUUAGAUGUUCUGGGCCGCACGCGCGCUACACUGAUCGGUGCAACAAGCAUCCGUCCUUGGCCGACAGGCCCGGGCAAUCUUUGAACGCCGGUCGUGAUGGGGAUAGACCUUUGCAAUUAUUAAUCUUCAACGAGGAAUUCCUAGUAAGCAUGUGUCAUCAGCCCGUGCUGAUUACGUCCCUGCCCUUUGUACACACCGCCCGUCGCUCCUACCGAUUGAGUGGUCCGGUGAAUUAUUCGGACUGCAACGCGUUCAGCUUCUGGAUGCAGUUGCGGAAAGUUUUGUAAACCUUAUCACUUAGAGGAAGGAGAAGUCGUANCA